rnacentral:rRNA from 1 species
UAGUCCACGCCGUAAACGAUGUUCACUCGCUGUUGGCGAUAUACUGUCAGCGGCCAAGCGAAAGCAUUAAGUGAACCACCUGGGGAGUACGAUCGCAAGGUUGAAACUCAAAGGAAUUGACGGGGGCCCGCACAAGCGGUGGAGCAUGUGGAUUAAUUCGAUGAUACGCGAGGAACCUUACCAGGGCUUAAAUGGUUUUUGACCGUCGCCGAAAGGUGUCUUUCUUUUAGACAAUUACCAAGGUGCUGCAUGGCUGUCGUCAGCUCGUGCCGUGAGGUGUUGGGUUAAGUCCCGCAACGAGCGCAACCCUUAUCCUUAGUUGCCAGCACGUAAUGGUGGGGACUCUAGGGAGACUGCCAGCGUAAGCCGCGAGGAAGGUGGGGACGACGUCAAAUCAUCAUGGCCUUUAUGCCUAGGGCGACACACGUGCUACAAUGGUAGGUACAGAUGGUAGCGAAGCCGCGAGGUGUAGCCAAUCUGAGAAAACCUAUCACAGUUCGGAUCGGAGUCCGA